AAAUAGAUCGAAAAGUCAAAAAUAUAAAUCGAAAGGAAACGGAAGUAAGAACUAAAAUACAGAGGAAGUCAGGAAAUGGAAGUUAACCACAAACAUUGCUGAUUCAGCCGAAUAUCUUUCUCGCCGUCUGGAUGUUUACAAAAGAAAUAUAAAUAUUCUUGUACUAAUCUAUAGCCAAUUCUAGGUGUUACUUGUAAGAUACCACGAACAAAUAGAUCAAGAUCAUUGUCCCUUAUGGUAGAAUGUGAUUCCCUGUUCGUAUUAGCUGAGACAAAUGAACGUCGUCGUAUUGUACUCUCAGAUACUCAAAAUUUCUUGCAAUUUCUGCCCAGGAAAGUCCAACUUGAGAAUUUAGAGUUUUGAUUGCCUGUUGUCAGACAUCCAGUCUUGGUCUUCCCACACCAGAGAUAGUUAAUAGUUAACACUCCCACUGUCCUACACUUGUCUGAACAAUACCGUGGUCCCUGGGGUACUCCUCCAACAAAGGGCGGUACUCCUCCAACAAAGGGCGAAAGGAAAGUGCUUCGCAUCUUUCCCUUCGACGACGAACAAUCACUUGAAGGAUGCGCAUAUCUGACAAACGUUGUUCUAGAGGAUAUUAAGCCUUGUGAGAUUGAGAAGAAUAUUUAUAUUUCUUUUGUAAACAUCCAGACGGCGAGAAAGAUAUUUGGCUGAAUCAGCAAUGUUUGUGGUUAACUUCCGUUUCCUGACUUCCUCUGUAUUUUAGUUCUUACUUCCGUUUCCUUUCGAUUUAUAUUUUUGACUUUUCGAUUUAUUUUUAUGAGCGGCGGCUUUGACCUAUCAUUUGGGAGUUUCGCUUUAUAAAUAGAAGUUUGGACUUGCGUUUAAUUUUCAUAUAUAUCCUUUGAGAUUUGAAAUGUAUUUUGCAUUUUUC